rnacentral:ncRNA from 1 species
GGUCACGAGUACCAGCGACAAGCCCCGGCUAGCUGGUCGGCAACCCUCCUUCCGCGGUGGGGUGCUCCGGGUGACGACCUGGCCGGCGACGACCAGUUGCCCGGCAAGCGCGGACC